CCUACGUGAGGCAGCAGUGGGGAAUAUUGCACAAUGGGCGCAAGCCUGAUGCAGCCAUGCCGCGUGUGUGAAGAAGGCCUUCGGGUUGUAAAGCACUUUCAGCGGGGAGGAAGGCGGUGAGGUUAAUAACCUCAUCGAUUGACGUUACCCGCAGAAGAAGCACCGGCUAACUCCGUGCCAGCAGCCGCGGUAAUACGGAGGGUGCAAGCGUUAAUCGGAAUUACUGGGCGUAAAGCGCACGCAGGCGGUCUGUCAAGUCGGAUGUGAAAUCCCCGGGCUCAACCUGGGAACUGCAUUCGAAGCUGGCAGGCUAGAGUCUUGUAGAGGGGGGUAAAAUUCCAGGUGUAGCGGUGAAAUGCGUAGAGAUCUGGAGGAAUACCGGUGGCGAAGGCGGCCCCCUGGACAAAGACUGACGCUCAGGUGCGAAAGCGUGGGGAGCAAACAGGAUUAGAUACCCCAGUAGUC
rnacentral:rRNA from 1 species